CCUACGGGUGGCAGCAGGCGAGAAUCAUUCACAAUGGGGGAAACCCUGAUGGGGCGACGCCGCGUGGGGGAAUGAAGGUCUUCGGAUUGUAAACCCCUGUCAUGGGGGAGCAAAUUAAAAAGAGAGUACCACAAGAGGAAGAGACGGCUAACUCUGUGCCAGCAGCCGCGGUAAUACAGAGGGCUCAAGCGUUGUUCGGAAUCACUGGGCGUAAAGCGUGCGUAGGCUGUUGCGUAAGUCGUGUGUGAAAGGCGCGGGCUCCCCCCGCGGACGGCACAUGAUACUGCGAGACUAGAGUACUGGCGGGGGAACCGGACUUCUCGGUGUCGCCGUGACAUGCUUAGCUCUCG
rnacentral:rRNA from 1 species